UCAGUAUAUGAAUACAGAGUUCCCUCUUC
rnacentral:piRNA from 1 species